rnacentral:lncRNA from 1 species
CUCUUGCAACCCGAUUCACAAAGGGUUGAAGGGGCUUUUUCCAACACGGUUGUGCCCUGGAGAUGUUAAUUAAUUGCAGAACUUUUCGAUUGCUAAUCUUCCUUUCCCUCUGCUUUUAAAACACAGUUCAGCUUUUUAGGAUGCAGGCCCAGUCCCGACGGGAUGUGAGCUUUCUUAACUGUACAUACAUGGUAAAUAAUUGAUACCUGCCAUAUGUUACUAAUCUUCUGCCCCUCCUUCCUUUGGCUCCCCUUGGAUGUCCAUUUCUUUCUUUUCUACUUUACCCUAACCACCAUUUUUCUUUCCUUUAUCAAUCGUGCCCUUUUCUUAUUGGUUUAGUCCGCAGUCACCUCCGGUCCUUUUGUCUUCGCAAGGCUGGAUCCUGAUUUCAUUAGCUCCUGAGUUCAAUGAGGCUGUCGCUGAUUUUAUUCAAGUAGAAAUGGGAUUAGACUCUCACUCUGCAGGUGAGCUCCUGGAUGUUUUAAAUCGUGGGUGAGUCUGAGACUUAUUUUAAUGAAACAGGAUUUUAGCAGCCUCUAUCAAAUAUUUUUUCUCCAUUAGGGCUGCCUCAUACACAGCAAGUUUCAAUAUGGAUAUCACUUUCGUGUAGGGAAAAGGCACACACCACAUGAGUUUCACUCCUGCAUUCAGAAGCGACGGGAAACAAUGCUGGUUUAUUUGCAUUCUAGUUUUCAGGGGGGGGUGCUGUUUCCAUGGUGAUUUAGGAUUAAAUCUGAUUAUUGAUCGCAUAGUUUGCUCUCAACCUGUUGAAAUCCACCUCGAGGGGGUGUAAAAAAAUAAAUCUAUAAUUAUCUUAUAUAAGUAAUAUUUCUGUUCAGAUUUAUUGCUUAAAACCAUUGGUCAUCACAAUACAAACCAAGGGAAAUGCAUACCGAAUGAGAUGAGAAAUAGAACAGAAUUAAGUACAAAUCAAUUAAUUUAGUUUUAAGCCUGGCAGUCGCUCCAAUAAGUUGAUUAAAAAUACGAGAUUCACACAUGACACUGUAUCAGAGUGUGUGUGUUUUCUUCCUCUCCCUCCAUCAACCUAUGUAUUCCGAUGUAGGAAAACAUGUGAGCUGACCGAAGGAAUAAAGAUAGCAAUGUAAACAUUUUCACUUUCUUAAUCCAACCGUUCUAUUGGUUGAAAUGGGUGAAUUUUAGAUAAAACCAAAGCAAUUCACUCAAAGGUUUCAAAGCUGCGGGAAAAGAGGGGCAGGGAGAGAAUAUUGGAUCCAAGACUUUUCUUCCCUCCCCAGUGCUUCUCCAUUAGGGCUGCCUCAUACACAGCAAGUUUCAAUAUGGAUAUCACUUUCGUGUAGAGCCAGUGUGGUGUAGUGGUUAAGAGCGGUAGUCUCGUAAUCUGGGGAACUGGGUUCGCGUCUCCGCUCCUCCACAUGCAGCUGCUGGGUGACCUUGGGCCAGUAACACUUCUCUGAAGUCUCUCAGCUCCACUCACCUCACAGAGUGUUUGUUGUGGGGGAGGAAGGAAAAAGGAGAAUGUUAGCCGCUUUGAGACUCCUUAAAGGGAGUGAAAGGCGGGAUAUCAAAUCCAAACUCUUCUUCUUCUUCUUCUUCUGCUAGGAAAUCAAAAACCCCAACCUAACCUAGGGCAGCGGGGUGCAGGUGGCGCUGUGGGUUAAACCACAGAGCCUAGGGCUUGCCAAUCGGAAGGUCGGCUGUUCGAAUCCCCGCGAUGGGGUGAGCUCUCAUUGUUCAGUCCCAGCUCCUGCCCACCUAGAAGUUCAAAAGCACGUCAAAGUGCAAGUAGAUAAAUAGGUACCGCUCUGGCGGGAAGGUAAACGGCGUUUCCGUGCACUGCUCUGGUUCGCCAGAAGCGGCUUAGUCAUGCUGGCCAUGUGACCCUCGGCCAAUAAAGUGAGAUGAGCGCCGCAACCCCAGAGUCGGUCACGACUGGAUCUAAUGGUCAGGGGUCCCUUUACCUUUACCUUUACCCUAGGGCAGGAUAGUAUACGUUCCUUCACAUGGGUUGUACAGUGGUACCUCAGUUUUCGAACGUAAUCCGUUCCGGAAGAUAGUUCGACUUCCAAGUCAUGUUCGAAAACCGAAGCAUUUACUUCCGGGUUUAUGGUGUUCGAGUUCCGAAACGUUUGUUAACGGAGACGUUCGGAAACCGAGGUACCACUGUACACAGUUGUUAUGUAUGCCGGCGUGGUUGCUCGAGAGCGAACAGGCAAGAUUCCCACUGGUCUUUUCAAGGCGUUAUUAUCGGUGCAAAACAUUUACAGUGCAGAGUGUCUCAAUUCCAUGUCUGCUCAGUCGCUAGCAGAAUCUGGGAGUGGGCGGUCCUUAAACUUUCCCCAGCAUAGCAGUCUUUUGACCCCCAUCCUACACCCCCCCUCUGCGCGUAAACCGACUGCACAGAGAGGGCGUGGGCGAUGGGCGACCUGCCUCCCCCCCUCUUUGCUCAGGCUCGGUUUUGCGGCUCUCUCUUGCAUCUUCCGAGCCCUGCAUCCCUUCGCCGGAGGAAGAGCUGCUUCUCACGAUCUUCGGAGGCUCCCUGUAACCCAACUGCCCUUCCACCUCUUGCCUCUGUGCUGAUGGCACUUCCCUGACAAUGGUAUUUGUUGUUGGUGUUGUUGUUUUAAGAUUUCUUCUCUGCCCUUCACCAUAAUGUCCAAGGGUGGGUUACAACAAUUUAACAAUACAAUAUUCAAAACCAUUAAGUCAGAUUUAAACACAUUGUAGGCUGAGCACACCAGUUCUUGCUUCUGAGACUGAGCACUCUCAGGCUUCAAAGUGAGUGUGUGUGUGUGUGUGUGUGUGUUAUGGGUAAGGGGAGGUCCUGGAUUUUUGUUUUGUUUUGUUUUGUUUUUGGAUGAGAGAUAACCCUAGAAUAGAGUUAGCGGGUUCCAUGUCAGGAUGCCGUUGGGGAAUAUUUUUGCAAGAAGACUGUUCAACAUCUGUGGUAUACCGCAACACACAAUUUUCUGUUUCCUGUAUCUAAUAAUAAUAAUAAUAAUAAUAAUAAUUAUACCCCGUCCAUCUGGCUGGGUCUCCCCAGCCACUCUGUGUGGCUUCCAACAAAAUAUUAAAAAUACAAUGUAGUAUCAAACAUUAAAAACUUCCCUAAACAGGGCUGCCUUCUAAGAGUCAGAUAGUUGUUUAUUUCCUUGACAUCUGAUGGGAGACUGUUCCACAGGGUGGGUGCCACUACCGAGAAGGUCCUCUGCCUGGUUCCCUGUAACUUGGCUUCUCACAGUGAGGGAACUGCCAGAAGGCCCUUGGAGCUGGACCUCAGUGUCUGGGCAGAAUGAUGGGGGUGGAGACGCUCCUUCAGGUAUACUGAGCCAAUGCGAUUUAGGGCUAUCAAACAAAGGCCCCACCUGCCCUAUGCAUUAAAAUCUGUAUCGUAUCACUUUAAACAAUCAUGGCUUCCCCCAAAGAAUCCUGGGAGCUGUAGUUUGUUAAAGGAGUCAUUUGGAGUCCACUAUUCCCCUCACAGAGCUACAAUUUUCAGAGUGCCCUAGGAGGAGGGCUUGAUUGUUAAACCACUCUGUUGUCUAUUGUGUCAUGUUGUACCCUAAUGAAAAAUAAAGGAAUAUGUUGGAUCAUCAUCAGAAGGCUGGAUGUUCUGCUUAGGAUCUGGAUUUCAGCUAAGAGUUUUAAUAAUGUCAGAUGCUCCACUAAAAUCAAUGGAAGAUCCUGAUGUAUCCUUUGGUUCCUUUAUAUUUCAUGCCUCUCUUGUAACAACAGCGGGUUUCAGGAAAGCACCACGUGGGACUGAGUUAUAAAGGGAAGAUGAAUCAUCAGAGACUAGCAGGGUGCCUUAAAAUGCAAGAAUAGGGAGAUGUGAGAAAAAACACAUAUGUGUGAAUCACAGAAGGGCAGAGCCUUUAAUUUUCUGGAUGGAGGUAAGCCCUCACUCCAGUCUCAUCAUGUGUGUGUAGGUGUUAGAUGCUGAAUGUGGAUUUAGAUCUUUUAAAAAUGAACCCAUGUUGUAAUGUUGUAGGCCAGUUUAUUAAGGUUUAUUUGGAAUCAGCAUACUGUGAAUGGACCACAACGUACAAAAAUGGAUUCGAACAAAAAUUUGAGCUUUGUCACGGAAGCCUGACAACCCCAAGUUUUUAAUUUUUAGAAGGAAUGUGUUUGGAGACCUCGUGGUAGUAGAGAAGAGCCAGAAAUAAGGCAGUUUCUGAUAAACUGUGCACAAGCAUGAGUUUUGGCAUUAUAAUUGUCAGGGAACUGACAUCGGAGCUAGAGGCGGAGGGGAGGCUCUCAAAUGAUGCUGGAGAAGGGCCCAGCAGGGAGAGAGGCAGCUCAGCAGAUGGGAAAGCAAAUCAGAGAUAAAGGGGGGCAGAUGGGGGAAUCGGCGAGAGGGCUCCCGGACUCUUCACCGGACACCAGCGGGGAGAGCACGGGUCCUCCGCUACCCACGCCCUCCCUGCGCAGAAGGCUUCUGCGCAGGGAGAGUAGGAGGAGACUUGGCAUCAAACAACUUUUAUGUUGGAAAAGGUUUAAGAAACGCCCACUGACGGAUUCUGCUAGCGACUGAGGCAGCCACGAAGUGAAGGGCUGUCCAGACAGAAAGGUUUAAACAAGGCAACAUAGCCAGGAGAGGCGGCAACUUACGCACGAGCAACCCAUACUCAUUACAAUAAUGCAAAGUUGUUAUCCUUUUGUUGUGAUCGUACCAGGGCUUCUUCCAUACUAGUCAUUUAGUCUGCAACUGAAUUCUUCAUUUGCUCAGAUUAUAUGGACAAUCCAGAUGUUAUAAUUACCACCCAUUGAAUUCCAAUGUUCCCCUUUAUUUAAAAAAUAAUAAUGUAUGACUUACAAUUGCAACAAUGGCCUGCCCAAUGUUGGUUAGCAAAAUUCUCCUGAGACUUUUCAGGGCUAUAGUCCCUUUAAUUAGUAGCUUUGUCCUUGCCUCUUUCUAUGAGAGUGCUUCAUUUUUGUUUCCUACUCAGUCCUGUGGCUAUGAUAUCCCUGAAUUGCCCUUAAUGAGUUCCUGUUCCCUGAGGGGGGAGGUGUUAAUUACUGCUUUCCUCUUUGCAGCUAGAGCAAUUGUUCAUUAAUUUUAUUUUUAAUUAGUGCUAUUUUGCCAUUUUACUUCCUUUUGUCCGCCCUAGGCCUACUGACAAUAUUAUAAUCCAUUUUAUUUUUCACUUAUUUAUUUGUUGAAUUAGUAUAUUACUUUUCAUCUGAAGAACACAGGGUGGUAAACAACAUAAAAAUACAAAAUGAGAACCCAAAAUACGUAGCAAAAAGAAGAACGGAACCAAAAAAAAAUCAAUAGCCCCACUAGAUUGAUGUGGACUCUUAAUAUGGUAACAGUUGAUUGAGUGUCUCUAACCAACUGGUUCCCAGGGUAUAGCUAGCUGUAAUAAUGAUAAUAAUAAUAAUAAUAAUAAUAAUAAUAAUUUUAUACCCCACCCAUCCUGAUGCUGCAAUAUAAUAUAAUAUAAUAUAAUAUAAUAUAAUAUAAUAUAUAAUAUAAUAUAAUAUAAUAUAAUAUAAUAUAAUAUAAUAUAUUUUAUAUUUUAUUCUAUUAAUAUAAUAUAUAUAUAAUAAGUGCAUGUUUUUUAAAAAUGUAAAUAGUAGGUGAAAGGGAACCCAAACAACAUUAGAACCUUAGGGACCAGAGAGGGACCAGAAAUACACCCAUAGACGCCCAACUGUUGUUUGCAUCAGGAAAGCAACCUGUAUUAGUACUAAUGAGGAGUUUCGCUCCAUUUACAAAUUGUUGUUGUUGUUUAGUCGUUUAGUCGUGUCCGACUCUUCAUGACCCCAUGGACCAGAGCACGCCAGGCACUCCUGUCUUCCACUGCCUCUCGCAGUUUAGUCAAACUCGUGCUGGUAGCUUCGAGAACACUGUCCAACCAUCUCGUCCUCUGUCGUCCCCUUCUCCUUGUGCCCUCCAUCUUGCCCAACAUCAGGGUCUUUUCCAGGGAGUCUUCUCUUCUCAUGAGGUGGCCAAAGUACUGGAGCCUCAGCUUCAGGAUCUGUCCUUCCACUGAGCACUCAGGGCUAAUUUCCUUAAGAAUGGAGAGGUUUGAUCUUCUUGCAGUCCAUGGGACCCUCAAGAGUCUCCUCCAGCACCAUAAUUCAAAAGCAUCAAUUCUUCGGCGAUCAGCCUUCUUUAUGGUCCAAUUUACAAAUAGCAACUUUGGAUUUUGGGCUGGCAGGUGGUAGUUUUGAUCAAGCUAUUUGGAUUGGGCUUGCUAUCCUUUUACUUGCCAUUUUCUAGCAUUUCCCCAGCUCUAAAAUAUCUGUCCCCUGCCUUUCUUACCUGGGAUGCCCAGAACCGCUUACAUUAUUCUAAAUGUAGUUAAAAACCAUAGAUUUAUACCAGGUGUAGGGAACCUGUGGCCCUCCUGGUGUGGUUGGAUUCCAGCUGCCAUCAAUCAUAGCCAGCAGGGCAUCAGGGAUGGCAGGACUUGCAAUCCAACCCGGAAGGCAGGGAUAUCCCCACCCUUGAUUUCUAGAAUGGCAGAUAUCGUAUCUGCCAUCUUAUUUCCAAUCCAAAUUACUCUCAGCACCGAAUUUUCCUUUCCCCCUCCCAUAGCGCACAAGAUUUAGUCAUGGAAAGUGCUAGUUUGUGAAUUACAGAAAAAGCUGCUCCUGUUUCACAAGUCUUCCCCCUCUCCCACCCUUGGAGGUAUAUGCGAUCUGCCAGAGCUCUAAUUAAUACUUGGGAAUAACCCACAUGAAUUCUCAUCGAUAUAUUUUGGAUAUCCUCUUUAUCAGCUUCUUGGAGAUGCUCUGAGGCAUCACAUUGUGAAGCACGCAGAUUCCAUUAUGUGCCUCUGUGUCUCUGUACUACACGGGCUAGUUUUAUCACCCUUUCCCCUUAAUUAACAAGUGGAGAUAAGGAAAUGUGAUUCUGCGACAUGAAGAUAGCAGGCGUGUCCAUGGAGGAGAACAUGCCGCUUUGUGUCUUUGGAAGGUUUCUACAGGAGACACCCGGAAAAUAAUAAAAAGGCUUAGACAGAUUCCCCUUGAGCUGACCUUUUGUGGACUGCCCUCCCCACAAUACUGAACCAUCAGUCAUACUUGGCCAGCGAAGUGUCAAUAAUUGAAUAACAGUGUGACAAGCAAGGGAAAUAUCUCUAGAUAAACGCUCAGUUCUAUCUGCACCAGUAUAUACGCUUUGGGUCUCAAUGUUCCAUCUCCAAAGAACUCGGUUCAGAGAAGGCAUUGAGUCAGAAAUGCAUUGAGUCAGUUUUGUUUUCCCUGAGUCUUCUUGACUCUAUCCUUUAGAGGCCACUUGUUCUCCUCAGAGGACUUGUCUCUCAAUAUGAUGGAGAGCUCCUCCUUAGCACAAGCUCUGAACCUAAUCCUGAGAGGUGUAACAAGUACAAAUGUGUUUUAUACACAGAGAGAGAGAGAGCGCAUUUUUGAACUGCUUUAAGAAUGUGAGAGAACACUGGCAUUCUGCACUAGAGCUUAAAUUUGCAUCUCUUUCUAAAAGUCUAAUUCUUUAUGACGACCAUUAUGGUUUCUUCCCCCCACCGUUCUCCAAAUCUUGUCACUGGCUUCUAUCUUGGUAAACAAGGUAAAGGGAACCCUGACCAUUAGGUCCAGUCGCGGACGACUCUGGGGUUGCGGCGCUCAUCUCGCUCUAUAGGCUGAGGGAGCCGGCGUUUGUCUGCAGACAGCUUCUGGGUCAUGUGGCCAGCAUGACUAAGCUGCUUCUGGCGAACCAGAGCAGAGCACAGAAAUGCCGUUUGCCUUCCCGCCGGAGGUGAAUUUAUCUACUUGCACUACUUGCACUAUCCCUAUUUAUCUACUUGCACUUUUGACGUGCUUUCGAACUGCUAGGUUGGCAGGAGCAGGGGCCGAGCAACGGGAGCUCACCCCGUCGCAGGGAUCUGAACCGCCGACCUUCUGAUCGGCAGUCCUAGGCUCUGUAGUUUAACCCACAGCGCCACCCGCGUCCCUUGUUUACCGCGUCUUUGGUAAACAAAGAGCAGGGAUAUUUCUAUCAAGGCUGUGUUCCAAGCAUGAGAAUUCAAAAUGGUGUGUUUUCUUUUGCUUCUUGGUUUCCCAUUUCCCAAUUCAUUGACGUCUACCCUUUAAUUAUUAUUUUUUAAGGGAAUUUGAGAAGCGUCCUACCUUCCCCCAUUGUCAGGUGUGCACGCAGGAGCCAGGCCCUGUGACCAAUAGGACUGUGCAGGACUGGGGCCUUCCUAAGUUUGUUCUGGAAAGGCGAGGUGCGGCCUCACAGGUGAGGCCGAUUGGUAACUCACAGCACCUGGUGGCAAGAGCUGGGAAGAGAGAUAAGGUCAGCAUUUCCCUUCGGCUCUUUGCCACAGCAACACACUUCCUGCCUUGCUGCGUUUGGCUUCUUGCUUCCUGAUCCUUGAACCUCGACUUCUUGACUCCUUGCUUCUUGAUCCUUGGACCCCUGACUUCGUGACUCCUUGCUUCCUGACCCUCGCACCCUUGGCUCCUGACUCCUGGCUUCUGGACCCCCGUUCCUGCUCCCAUCCCGCCAUCUUGCCCCCGGUCCUGAUGUCCCCUGCCAGAGCUUCGAUCGCCCAUGAACUGGACCGUGACACCCAUGCUGUAAGUACUGCUAAGCAUUCAGUAAGCUGGUCAAAGAAAACCUCCAGUGACCUUUUCAUCAUUUCUACAGGCAUUUUGUGGCAGUAAGGGCUAUAUUUUCAACUCCAGAUAAUGGAGAGUCAUUUGUGGCCAAUGGUCAGGGAUGAUGGGAGUUGUAGUCUAGCAACCACACCUGGAGGUCUGCAAGUUCCCCACACCUGCAGGUAACCAGAUGCAACAGAUACAUCUGGUUACCUGCAGCCUGUGGUUUUUUUUUAAAUAAAGUUUUUAUUGAUACAACAAGAAAAAAGAAAAAAAACAAAUACCAAAUUACACACAAGAAUAACCAUAGACACAUAAUUUUCUUAGCAAACAAUAAAACAUCUAUUGGUCUUAACACUAAAGACCCAACCUCCCAUCUAUUCCAUAUUUCAAAUUCAUAUUACUUAUUGCCAAUACACUUUUAUCAUAAUUAAAUUUAUUCUUAAUCUAAUUUCUUAUAUCUACCUUGCAACUAUUACUGAAGUUCCUCGAAUGCUGCAACAGAAUUUAAACUGCUAUAUUUAUUUUUCAUUCUUUGAAAACCUCCCAUUCUUUGAAAACCUCCCAUUAUUUUUUUUAAUAAAUAUUUUUAUUAGAUUUUCCAUAAAAAAACAUUUUUACAAAAUUAUACAUCCAUUUUUAACUUAAACCCUUUUUUCCAGAACUUCCCUCAGCUUCUCUGAUAAUUUUCCGUUUAUUUUUUAUCCUCGUCUCACAUUUCCCAAUAUUAUAUUGCACUCAAAUAGUCUUAAUCACAUCAUAUUUUUUAAACAAUAUUUCUAACAGUAAUUUCACAGAGCUUCUUGAAAGCCAACGAACGUUAUUUGCUCAUCACCCUUGGUUUCCUUCCUGGAGAUGGCUCUCAGAUGCGCAUCAAACUGCCCACCUGAAAGAAGCAGGCUAUAAUCUCCCCUGCCCACAAUAUUCAGCAUAUUAGACCUGCUAAAGACACUCCCAGCUAAAGUUAGGGGUAAAAUCAGGCAUGUGAAUGAGAACAUUCUGUAAGUAAAUGUGGGGAGGGAGGGAACCACUGCAAAGGCAUAACCCAACCUUAUUUAAGCACUUUCACAGCCCAUCGACUUUGCUGUGCACAUGCUUAAAUGUUUCCUGUUGCCAUCAGACUGCUUUGCCUUGCCUGGAUUGAGCUCAAUUGUGUAUACGAAAAGCCACGUAAAUGCAGCCAAAGCUUUUUGCAAACGUGAAUGAAUUCCCACAGUGACCCUAUGGCAUAUGUAAAUAUUAAUGUUAAUCGCUAAGUCCAAGGACAAUUGAGACUAGUCAUGAGAUGGUUCAUUAAGUUCCUAUUGUGUUUACAUCUUCAAAUGUCAAUAAGCCAAAGAUCUGGAACAAUGCUAACCACAUCAAAUACCAGUCAGUAUGUUUCAAUUGACUAUAUAAUGAAUUCCUCAGACGAGCUACUAUGCAUUUCUCAGGCAGUACUGUUGUUAGAGCUGAGGGCAAACUAUGCUGCUGUAUUGGGCGAUGCAAGCAAAUCUUGGAAAUUCAAAAUGGUAGGGUAUGAUAUUGGGAAGACUGUUAAGUUGUGGGUGAACAUAUCAGAUGACACAGCGAUUCUUCAAACAGCUCUUGUUUAUUCACAGGCCAGAACAGAACUUCAAUACAUAGUAAAAUCAAUGAAUGUUAGAAAAAUGUUGGAAUGAAGUUACAUGGCUUUAGCAGAAAUGUUAUAAGGAAUUAAGUAUAAAUAGAUUAAUAGAGUAUUAAAGGAAAAAAUAAGGUUAGAAUGAGUUAAGAUAAUUAUAGGAUAGGAAACAGAGGAAGAUGGAAAGGAAUUGCUGAAACAAUUAACAGAAGUGGAAUACAAAAAGGGAGGUGUGAGGAGGUCAUGGAAAUAAGUGAAUGAAAGAUGGGAUAAUGAAAUUGUUUGAUUUAUUUUAUUUUUUUUUUGUUUGGUUUGGUUAGUUUAAUGUAUUGUAUUGUAUUGUUUUUUGUUUUGUUUUUUUAGUGUUUAAAUUUUUUGGAAAAGUACUAAAUAUUAUUUUUUUUAAAAAAAACAGAACUUCAAUACAUAACACCCCUCCCCACCAAGAUAAGGCAUUAGUUACAAUCAUAGUGGUUCCAUUACAUACAGCAAUACCCUUAUUGGUUUCAGUAAGGCACAUAAGCAUAUUAAUUGACCCUAUUCACCAUACAGCUUUACAUGAGCAGUUUGUCCAGUGAACAUAGUCUUUUAAAUACGCUGGGCGCUUGGAAACCCUGCUGGCUCACCGAAGGCCAGUACCAGAGUCCGGGUGGCCUUGCGGAUUUCCUGGGCGGAGAGUUCAGCAGCUUCUGAGGCCACAGCCUCCUCAAUGGCUUUCUACAGCGUGAGGUCUGGCUUGGCGAGGAGACGCCAUUGCAGACGGAUGUCCCGGACCCCGCAGACGAUUCGAUCCAUCCAUCAGUCUAAGUCUCGGAACUCGCAGUGCAUUGCAGCCUGUCGGAGGGCGGCGGUGUAGUUGUUGAUUGAUUCCCCCUCUGCCCGGUUCCGGUGAUAGAACGCAUGGCGGGCAGCAAUCUUGGACGGCUUUGGCGCGUAGUGGUUGCGGAGCUUCUCUCUACAGACCCUCUUGUAAGCUCAUUUGCUUGGAGGUAGCAGUCGAACCGAGCGAGAUAGGAGUCCCAUGAUUCAGAGGCUGGGGCAAACGGCGGUAGAGGCACGAGUGAAGCCAUGGUUCCAAUGCCGACGUGGAAGCGAUGGAUGGAACACAGUGCUCUAGCCAGAACAGUCAGCUCUGAAUUGGUUCUGCUCCGUGAUUUCGCUCAGUGUUUCAGCUCCGUGAUUCAACUUAUCUCAGAGGGUGGCCGUGUCUGGCUGUGCGCUGAUGUCCAUUGAUCCCAUCCUCGUCGCCACUGUUAAGUUGUGGGUGAACAUAUCAGAUGACACAGCGAUUCUUCAAACAGCUCUUGUUUAUUCACAGGCCAGAACAGAACUUCAAUACAUAACAAAGACAACUUUCCUAGUAUUCUUACUGUUAUAGGUGAGACACCAAGAAGCAAUGCUGUUUACUUAAGAGUAGACCCCACCAUGUACAACAUGUUCACUCCCAGCCCCAGGCAAAGAUGCAUAGGAAUGUACUGUAAAGGUAUAAUCUGGUUAGACAAUCCUAUCCAAACAUAUCUGCCACUCCCUCUUUCUGAACAUUAUUGCCUUCAAAACAAAAGGUUGGAGAGAGAUUUCGACCUAGUAGGAAAGCUUCUUCUUCUCCCUCUCUCUUCCUCUUCCUCCUUCUCUCCAUGCCUGGUGAAGUUAUGACGGUGUAGAGACAACUGGACUAUUGGAUGGAACUGCCAGAGUCCUCAAAAAUGUGUACCUUCCUGUACCUUUAAUAGCCAGUAGUUCAUCUUUGGGGAUCGUAUUAGCUUCCUUCAUGUGCUAUAUAGUUCAGGGCAGUGGGAGCACAUUGCUGGAUUUCUGCAGGGAGAGGAAAUCCUGCUUGCAUGAUGGGAACUCUAUUCACAUGUUAUUUGCAAACGGUAUUACAGCCUUCAGGGUCGCAACUCCUUCCUCAAAGUACUGUGUGUCGCACACAGUUGUCUGCAGAGGAACCCGAAUGUACAAGCUGCUGCUCCAGGGUGGAUUUGAUUUAAAUCAAAGCGAUUUAAAUCACGAUUUAAAUCACUAGUCAGCAAGACAUGAUUUAAAUCACUAGUCAGUAAAACUUGAUUUCAAUCUAUUUUUUUACAGAAAGACUCAUUCUUGCUGGUAUAAUCUUUAUAUUUACAACCAGAGGAAGGUUUCAUUUUUGGAAUAAUACAUUUUCAGAGUAGUUUGUUUUUACAGUUAUAUCAAAAAUUACUCUUUGGUUAUACUAUUAGAAAUACAUAGACAGAUAAUUAUGAAAUUAUUGUGAGGUUUAAUAAGUUAACUGUUUAUAUUGGGGCAACUUUUCUGCUGUACUUUAUUGGAAGGAGAAAAAUAACCAAUUCCUUAAUAACAAUUUAAAGAAUUUAUUGGACUAAAGCAAUAACAUUAUAGCAUAUGUAUCCAUGUUUGUUAACUGAUGUGGUUAAACGUGUGUUGUUGUCGUUUUUAAUAAAACUUAGACUGAAUUUGAGCACACAUGAAAAACUUUUAAAAAAUCCUUAUUUCCUGUUGAAUAGCCUUUGGACUAUAAUGUAACUUAAAUAGAAAACUAUCUUUAGAAAGAUUUUUCCUCCAAAAGCAUUUUAUUUUAAAAAUCCGAUUUAAAUCAAGAAAAUCUAAUUUAAAUUUUUAAAAAUCCAAUUUUUUAAUUUUUUAAAAAAAUCAUUUAAUUUUAUCUACCCUGUGCUGCUCAUGUGAGGAGACACUGCGUGAUUGGGGCAUAUUAUAGAGUAGGCCUUCUAACCAGAUGGAUCCUCACAUGUUUGGGUUCUGAAGACAACCACACACAACACAUGGCUGUUGCUAGAAGAAUACAUUAUGUCGACUCAAGCUCCACUCUGGAGCAGAAACAGGGCAAGGGACAUAGCAGGCAGGUCCAGUUGUCACCACCUGAUUUCAGGGGCAAAGGACAGCAAUGUCCUGGGACUUAAAAUUUACAGCAUGCUGUGCGUUGAAGGAGAACUAUAUGAAAAUGAUGUAUCGGUGGUAUUUAACACCUAUAAAAUUAUAGCAAAGAAAAAAUUCGGGCUGCAGGCUGCUAUCCGCAAGCCUUCGGAGCCCGGCAGGAACUCCCACCGCACUCCGAAGGCUUGCGGAUAGCUUCCUGAAGCCUGGAGAGCGAGAGGGGUCGGUGUGCACCGACCCAUCUCGCUCUCCAGGCUUCAGCGAAAGCCUGCAUUCGCUCCAGAGGACGCACACACAUUUCCCCUUCAUUUUUGGAGGGGGGAAAGUAUGUCCUAUAGAGCGAAAAAUACGGUAUGUUGGAAAUGUAAGGAGAAGGAAGGCACAUUCUACCAUAUGUGGUGGACGUGCAAGAUAACAAAAGCAUUCUGGGAAAUGAUUUAUAAUAAGUUGGAAAAAAAUGUUUAAAAUAACGUUUGUGGGGAAAACAGAGGGUUUUUUAUUAGGAAUUUUAGGUACAGAGAUACCAAAGGAGCAGAAACGAUUAUUUAUGUACACAAUGACAGCAGCGAGGAUACUACUGGCCCAGAGAUGGAAAGAAGAUAAAGUCCUGAACAGAGACAAAGGGCUGAUGAAGAUGAUGGACUACGCCGAAAUGGCGAAAACAACUAGGAAAAAUUAGAAACCAGGAAGAGAAGAACUUCAAGAAGGAUUGGGGAAAAUUUACAAUGUAAUUAAGAGAACAAUGUAAACAACUAAAAACUUUGGCAGGAUUUGAGUAACGCUUGUAAUGUACUAAAAAUUAUGGUAAAAAUGGAUUAUUUGGGGAAAAUCGAGGAAAUAAGUGAAGCAGUUGGGGGGGAAAUGAUAAGGGUAACCAUGGAAGUGGGGGGUGGGGGAGUCAAAGAAUUCAGGUAAUCCUAAAUGAAUUUAAAUUUGCAAUGUAAAACUCAAUAAAAAAGAUUUUUUUAAAAAAAAGACAGCAAUGUCCUUGAAUGGGCUUUUUACACAUGAAUGGCCCCUUCGCUCCUUUUUCUUCUCCGCAUCUUUUCAUCAAAGGGCUUCUACCAUACUCAGCUCUUUGGGUUUAAGCCAAAGAGGCAAGUAAUUAGGGGGAAAACCCCAGGCAAAUUCUGCUAGAAACCUCGCAGAAAUGAAAGGAGCUUGAACACAGAGCUGUGCCGAAGCUGUGAACACGAGAAGUUUGAGGUAUCUUACACGCUUCCGAACCCAUCAGUCUAAUACAGUGGGCUGCUCCCUUGUCACUGCAGAGGAGUUCAGAGUGGAUAUUUGUGACUCCUUGAUACGUUUAAUCUUUUGUUAUUAUGCUUUUAAAUUAAUACAAAAUUGCUUUAAAAAGAAACUGGUAAUUAAUCAUAAUCUUAAGCAAUUAAGAGGAAAUAAUCCUACUUUGUUCGAGUCAUAAUGAGCGAGGAGUCAUUUGGAGGUGAUUAUAUGGAUAAUCCAAUUGGAUUUAUUCCAGGGUAAGACUGUAGCUCCCAUUCAUUAGGCCAAUUAUGAUACAGUGUGCUGUAGAAUUUUCACCUCAUAAGUUUAAAUAUAAUAGUAACAUUGAUUGUGUGAGCUAAUGCAGAAGGCUGUACAAUCUUCAGCUAGUGCCAGGACUGAGUUUCUGCCCUAUAUAGACAUCAGCACACAGUUUGCCAUUCCAAUAGUAACUACAUCAUGGGACGGAACAAAAUGUCAAUAAAUUCAGUAUGCUUUGUGGAAGGAAGGAGGGAAGAGGAAGGGGAAAGAAGAAAAGCCAUGAUUUUGAAUUAUUUCAAAAUUUCAGGAUACAAGCAUUUUACAGUCUUAAUCUCACCCUAACACCAAGCUCUGAUCAGAAACAUUUAUUUGAUUGAACAUCCAACUUUUCAGGAUAAGGAUCCCAACAAGAUGUUGCACAAAUCAUUAAUAAAACAUGCAGAAUCUAGAAUUGAAAAUCUACCGUUGCACUCCUUUAAAACAAGCAGCAAAUAUAUUAGGAUGUCAAGAACAAUUAAAAAAGAAUAAGAAGUGUGUUGUAACCCUGACCCCUGUCAUAUACCUGGACUGACAAUAAGUGCCGGGGGUGGUUUACAUGUACAGGGGAGAAAGCAAAUUAUUUAUGAAGUGUUAAAGCUUUUGUGUUAAUUUACAGUUACAUCUAAUUUGCAGUAUACUUGAUAAAAUGAAAUCAUACCUUGCAAAUCACUCACUGCUUUGUUCGCUGCCACUUGUUAUAUAAAUGAAUAAAAGAUUUAGAUCUUCCCUUUUGUUUCAAGGCAACAUAUAAAAACAGUUGUAAAACAUAAAAUUCACGAUUACCGAAAACCUCAGUAAGACACAGCAAUUAAAAAAUAAAAAAUAAAAGCCAGAACAACAUACAAACAUUACAGAGAGUAUUAAAAAAAACUUACAAAGGGGCUAUGCAUCCUUCAGAGGGGAUUGCAUUUAUUAAAUAUGGGGCAGUCACAGAAAAGGCCCUGUCCCUGGGACCUGCUCCUACCUACAAGUCAGAGAGCAGGGCUUCUGAAGCCUAUAGUAGAGGUUGAGCAGGUUCAUAACAGUGCAGGUAAGGUAAAGGUAAAAGGACCCCUGACUAUUAGGUCCAGUCGUGACCGACUCUGGGGUUGCGACACUCAUCUCGCUUUAUUGGCUGAGGGAGCCAGCGUACAGCUUCCGGGUCAUGUGGCCAGCAUGACUAAGCCACUUCUGGCAAACCAGAGCAGCACAUGGAAACACCGUUUACCUUCCCGCUGGAGCGGUACCUAUUUAUCUACUUGCACUUUGACAUACUUUCGAACCGCUAGGUUGGCAGGAGCAGGGACUGAGCAAUGGGAGCUCACCCCCUCGCGGGGAUUUGAACUGCCGAUCUUCCGAUCCGCAAGUCCUAGGCUCUGUGGUUUAAAUUAAGGUUGAUCUUAAUUUUAUUUCCUGACAUCUCAUGGCUGCACCAAAUAUUAAUCCACGUUUGUCAACAAUUUUAUUAGAAGAAAUCUCAGGAUGCAGUAGGUGGAAAUAGUCCACACUGUAAUGUUUCACCCGUCUUUGGGUUUUGUGGUUAAUAUCCCUCUUUAUACUUGGAAUGCAUGUGUUUCAUAACUGUGGACUGAAUCGAUAAGAGCAGCCCAGGCUGCUUUGAUUUUCCCCCUUUUCUUCCUCCCAUCACCAUCUUCCUAAGCCUUGAGAUUGCUCAUAUGUGCAUCAAGGAGCCUUUUGUGUCCCAUCUACGGUAUGGAAGCUGAGGAGGUUCUGAUCCGCCAAGUGUUUUAUGUGGUGUCAUGAUCUUGUCUCCAAAGUUAAAGGCUGAAAUAUGCUUCUCUGUUUCAGUAAUAUCACAAGGCGGCUUGACUGGCACCGAGAUUUACACAUCACUCCCUCAAGGAUCCUGUCAGGAGAAUAGAUCAGUCAGCAAAUGGCGUAUCAGCAGCCAGGGAAAGAACACAAACGUGGACCCGGGGUCAAUUAUAUAGUCUUGCCACAUCCAGCGCAUGUCUGUCGAGAGCCGGAGACUUGGCAAUGGCCCACCCCAACAUCUGGACAGCAGCAGCAAACGGUGUUGCCCUUCUAAGAUGAAAGGAAAUCACACAUGUGAAACAAAACCAAGCUGAAGGUUUGAAGGUUGUGAGAGAAGAAUCAUGAACCAAGAAGGAAGAAGAGGGACUUUGUUUUUUUGAAAUAAUUUCUAUUGGUUUUUACAAAAUAAAUCUCAC